rnacentral:rRNA from 1 species
UACGGGGGGCAAGCGUUGUUCGGAAUUACUGGGCGUAAAGGGCUCGCAGGCGGCCGACUAAGUCAGACGUGAAAUCCCUUGGCUUAACCAAGGAAUGGCGUCUGAUACUGGACGGCUUGAAUCCGGGAGAGGGAUGUGGAGUUCCAGGUGUAGCGGUGAAAUGCGUAGAUAUCGUGGAGGAACACCGGUGGCGAAGGCGGCAUCCUGGACCGGUAUGACGCUGAGGAGCGAAAGCCAGGGGAGCAACGGG